CCUGUACGAGAAAGUGUAUUGUUCUCGGUUUUCCUGUUCGAUCAUGCACGGGUUCUUUCCGCGAACGUAAACCGAGUUUCGCAGGUUCGAUAACAAACCGAUCGUCCGCAGUGAUUUUACUACCAACCAGUGGCACUCGUCUUUUCCAGUUUUCCCGUCGCUUUCGUUUUGUGUUAAUUUUUCUUAAAUUCUCGUAAUACAACGUUGUUUUGUUUUCCGUUUAAAAACGAAUACGUUCGAAUGUACCGACACGCCGGGCGCGGAAGAGUUUUUAAUGUCAAACGUAAUACGACUCGCCGCGCUAAAUUGCACGACGGUGUACGAUUUCAGUGCGCUCUGUGCCCGAAAAUGUUUUCGCGUAAAGACAGCCACGAUGUCCACGUUAAAAUUAUCCACCACGACGGAAGAGUCGCUCUGCCGACUAUUGCCCGGCAAGCCGGUCCUUCGAAUAUUAUUCCGCAAUCGCUGACAUAUCGAAUGACGGGCCGUCCAACAAAGAUGUACGGGGGAGCGGCUUCGAAGACAACGACGAGUUGCUUGCGGCACUUGACAUGGAUUUCGAAAUGGAUAAUGGUGAGAUUUAUUUUUUUAUGCCCCACACCACGUAGGGAAUCAGCUUUAAUUUUUUGUCUCUGUAGGUAGGAAACGUGUACUUAAAGAAGAUGCCGCAGCCAGAGUGAAAAAAACUAGCCUGUCUCUAGUGAAAACACCGGGAUUCAUAGAAAUCGAUUCUUCUUUCAACCCCAAUAUUCGUAUGGUAAAAAACAAAAAAAACGGUACAUACCGUUUUUCCGCUUAAAGUGACCGUAGUGGAGAAGACUGACCAUUUCGACCUGCUGUUAAUAAACGAAAACGAAAAGUCCCAUUAUACUUACAUCUCUAACUUUUCUCGUCUCGUCAGAUCUCAAAAAACCAAACAUAAUGAGGAAGUAAUUUUCUGUAAACGGUGCUUCACGGAUUUCGAUAACGGACCGAGGAUGAAAUUGAGCGGGCAGGCCGCACUCGAUUAACAUAAAUUAAUUUGCGGUGAACACAAACCAAUUUUGCCCGUAAUGCCUGAACGUGGAUAAAAUAGAAAUUCGAUGCGUAAGGAAAAACAAAACGUCAUCCCAUUGUUAUAUACGCUGAUUUCGAGGCGAUAAUGGAGAAGAGGGAUGAGAGGAAAGGAAGAAACACAACUAUUUUACAAAAUCAUAUAUCGAUGUCGUACGGGUUUUUCGUAAAGUCUUUAUUCAGAUAUUUAACAAAGUUUAAUAACAAAGGCAUAAGAAGG